rnacentral:rRNA from 1 species
UACGAAGGGGGCUAGCGUUGCUCGGAAUUACUGGGCGGAAAGCGCACGUAGGCGGCUCUUUAAGUCGGAGGUGAAAUCCUGGAGCUCAACUCCAGAACUGCCUUCGAUACUGAAGAGCUCGAGUCCGGGAGAGGUGAGUGGAACUGCGAGUGUAGAGGUGAAAUUCGUAGAUAUUCGCAAGAACACCAGUGGCGAAGGCGGCUCACUGGCCCGGUACUGACGCUGAGGUGCGAAAGCGUGGGGAGCAAACAGG